rnacentral:rRNA from 1 species
GGCUCAGGACGAACGCUGGCGGCGUGCCUAACACAUGCAAGUCGAGCGGGGACAUGCGACGGAGGCGAAGUACUCGUACGGAGUCAAAGAUGUAAUGUCUAGCGGCGGACGGGUGAGUAACGCGUGAGCAACCUGUCCCUUACAGGGGGAUAACACAGCGAAAGUUGUACUAAUACCGCAUAAGACCACAGGAUGACAUCGUCCAGGGGUCAAAGGAGCAAUCCGGUAAGGGGUGGGCUCGCGUCCGAUUAGAUAGUUGGUGAGGUAACGGCCCACCAAGUCGACGAUCGGUAGCCGACCUGAGAGGGUGAUCGGCCACAUUGGGACUGAGACACGGCCCAAACUCCUACGGGAGGCAGCAGUGGGGAAUAUUGGGCAAUGGGGGGAAACCCUGACCCAGCAACGCCGCGUGAGGGAAGAAGGUUUUCGGAUCGUAAACCUCUGUCCCAGGUGAAGAGGAAGAGACGGUAGCCUGGGAGGAAGCCCCGGCUAACUACGUGCCAGCCGCAGC